rnacentral:rRNA from 1 species
GUUCAUAGCCAUAACACCCUGGAUGCGCCCGAUCUUCAUCUGAUCUCAGAAGCUAAGCAGGGUCGGGCCUUGUUAGUACUUGGCUGGGAGACCCCUGGAAAAAAUGCCCAUCU